rnacentral:rRNA from 1 species
AGUGAGCGCUGGCGGUAUGCCUAACACAUGCAAGUCGAACGGCAGCACAGUAAUAGCUUGCUCUUACGGGUUGCGAGUGGCGUACGUGUGAGGAAUAUAUCGGAAUCUACUUUUUCGUGUGGGAUAACGUAGGUAAACUUACGCUAAUACCGCAGACCAUCUACGGUGGAAAGCAUUGGAUCUUCUGACCUUUCGCGGUUGAAUUAGCCGAUGUCGGAUUAGCUAGUUGGCGGGGUAAAGGCCCACCAUGGCGACGAUCCGUAGCUGGUCUGAGAGGAUGAUAGGCGACAUGGGAGCGGAACCAGGGUCAAGAGUCCUGCGGGAGGCAGCAGAGGGGAAUAUUGGACAACAGGCGGAAGCAUGAUCCAGACAUCGCGCGUGGGUGAAGAAGGCCUUGGGGUUGUAAAGACCUUUUGUUGGGAAAGAAAAGCAGCAGGUUAAUACCACGCUGUUGUGACGGUAACGAAAGAAUAAGCACCGGCUAACUUCGUG